UACGUAGGGUGCAAGCGUUGUCCGGAAUUAUUGGGCGUAAAGAGCUCGUAGGCGGUCUGUCACGUCGGACGUGAAAAUCCAGGGCUCAACCCUGGACCUGCGUUCGAUACGGGCAGACUAGAGUUCGGUAGGGGAGACUGGAAUUCCUGGUGUAGCGGUGAAAUGCGCAGAUAUCAGGAGGAACACCGGUGGCGAAGGCGGGUCUCUGGGCCGAAACUGACGCUGAGGAACGAAAGCGUGGGGAGCAAACAGG
rnacentral:rRNA from 1 species